UGCGGAAGGAUCAUUAAUGAAUUCAGGGAAUUGAUGCUGGCCUCUGGGCAUGUGCUCGUUCUCUAUAAUCCAUUCACACCUGUGCACUUGUUUUCAGAGUUAGGGAGAAAUCCCUGCUCUGCUAAUCACAUACUCUUAUAAUUUACUAUGAAUGUUUAUCAAGUCGAAAGACUUUUAAAUUAAUACAACUUUUAACAACGGAUCUCUUGGCUCUCGCAUCGAUGAAGAACGCAGCGAAAUGCGAUAAGUAAUGUGAAUUGCAGAAUUCAGUGAAUCAUCGAAUCUUUGAACGCACCUUGCGCUCCUUGGUAUUCCGAGGAGCACGCCUGUUCGAGUGUCAUGAAGCUCUCAAGCGAUAAUAACUUUAUUGUUGUUAUUUAGCUUGGAUUUGGGACUUGCUGUGUUACAACGGCUGUCCCUAAAUGCAUUAGCCGGCUCUAAUGGAAGACUUGGUUCUUACUCGGUGUGAUAAUUAUCUUACGCUGAGGACAUUUCCUGUAAAAAGGGAGAUGGCCAGGACUAUCAUUAGGCUGCUUCUAAUCGUCUCUUCUGACAAAUUAACAUUUCAAAUCUGACCUCGAAUCAGGUGGGACUACCCGCUGAACUUAAGCAUAUCAAUAAGCGGAGGAA
rnacentral:sRNA from 1 species